GCCAGUGUGGUGUAGUGAUUUCAGCAUUGGAAUAUGACCCUGCAGACCAGGGUUCGAAUCCCUGCUUGGGUA